rnacentral:misc_RNA from 1 species
AAAAAAUGAAACACAAUCCACCACGACCGACUUAUUCAAGAAUAGCUGCAAAGACCAAUAAUCAUACAACCAACCGUGGACGAAUUCCAUUGAUGCUGAAAAUUCCAGAAUUUAUGCCACAAAAUAUGCAUUGCAGGCAUAUAUGAUACCAAAUGUUAUGACGUCAUAGAAAAUCCCCAUCAUGCAAAUUAUUUUUUUGAACGGGAGUUGACAACAUAUUACAAGCACUACAAGUAAACUAUACAUUUGAAGGGAAUAUAUGCGUCAACAGUUAAUCAGAUAAUAUGUACUACAUAGAUUCAUUUCUUAGCAAGCAGUUUUUUUGGCAGCUUAUCCAAAGGAGUAGUUUUUAGAAGAAAAAGCCGGGCAGCACGCUCUGAAAAAGUGCCCCCACACUUGAGCCCACGUGCUUGUAGUUCAUUCUUCAGCCUUUCCAUGCCGAGAACCUCCAUCUCUGCUGCUGAAUUGAAGUCAUCAAAAUUCAGUGGCUUCUCCAAAUCAGUGUCCCUAACAUUUACUGCAACAGUUUCUCCAUUAGAUGCAGAUUUGAAGUCAGAGACGGCUUCAACAGUAACUGGCCUGCUUUCAAUACCAUCCCCACUUGCUGGAGUUGUAACAUAGGGCUGAGAGUCAGAUUCAACAUUAUCCAGCUUUUUAUCCUUAACUGCAUCAAUUCCAGAACUCUCAGCAGUCCCCAAGCAAGUUACACCACAACUCUGUAGUACUGCUUCCUCAUGAAUCUCUGGUUCAGCCAAUCCAUCGUUUUCACUGGGAACAUUUUCUUCUUGAGGGAUAGAUUUCAAAUUUUGCUCCACAGUAGCAUCUUUUUCUCCCUCAGAACCACUCUCACAUAAGACACCACCAGAGAAUUCUCCAUCUUGCUUACCACCAGUAACUGACUCUGAACCCCCUUCAGCUUCGUUAUUCCAAUUUGAAUGAUUUUCAUUAUUUAGAACAAUAGAUUUCUCAUUUUCCUCAUCACUGCUAUCCUCAUCCGUAUCUUCACUGUCACUUUCACCCAAUUUUCUCUUCCCCAUCCAAAUCUUCAACCUAUUGGCCUCCAAUCCCUCAUUUGGCAUCUUCCGCUUCCGCUUUCCGUUCCCAUUCCCACACGCCUCUCUAACGGCCUCCUCAACCGCCGCUGCACACUUGGCGGAUUCUUUCCUAUACUUCUCCACAUACUUUUCUGCCUCUCCCUCCCCAGCCCCCUUCUUCCCUUUCUUCGCCUUCUUUUUAAUAAAUUCCUCCGCAAUCUCCUCUAAUCUCCUUUCCUCCUCCUCUGCUUUCCAAUCCUCCAACCUCUUCUCAGCGUUCACGUGGCGCAGCCUCCGCCCACUCAUGUCACGACAUGCGUCGAAGUUGUUGGUCUUCUUUUGACCAGCUUUGGUGGCGGCUCCUCGCAGAAGAGAGCCAAAUCCACCCUUGCCGCCAAGGAGGCGAAGCAAGAGGUGGACAGUGCAUUCGGGACUGGAGAUUGCGGAACUCUCACUGAGUUGUGUCCCGCUGUAUAUAAGGCGCUGACAGUGAGUGGGGAUUUUGGUGAUCUCGAAGACCCGUCGCUUAAUGGCGAGCCCAUCAACUUGCGAAGCCGUGAAUCUAAGGGUUGCUGUUUUGCCAUCUAGAAGCUUGACGAAUAUCUGGAAGAACUUACUGCUAUCCUGCAUUGUCGUCUUUGGAGAAUCUACCCUUUCUCCCUGCAAAAUUGACGAGCAACCAG